GAUGAACGCUAGCUACAGGCUUAACACAUGCGAGUCGCGGGGCAGCAUGGGGGUUGCUUGCAAUCCCCGAUGGCGACCGGCGCACGGGUGAGUAACGCGUAUCCAACCUGCCCUUCACCACGGGAUAACCCGGCGAAAGUCGGACUAAUACCGUAUGUUGUCCAUUGACGGCAUCCGAUUUGGACGAAAGGCUUGGCGGGGAGGGAUGGGGAUGCGUCCGAUUAGCCAGACGGCGGGGUAACGGCCCACCGUGGCUACGAUCGGUAGGGGUUCUGAGAGGAAGGUCCCCCACACUGGAACUGAGACACGGUCCAGACUCCUACGGGAGGCAGCAGUGAGGAAUAUUGGUCAAUGGGCGUAAGCCUGAACCAGCCAAGUAGCGUGCAGAAUGACGGCCCUAUGGGUUGUAAACUGCUUUUAUGCGGGGAUAAAGUGGCCCACGUGUGGGCUUUUGCAGGUACCGCAUGAAUAAGGACCGGCUAAUUCCGUG
rnacentral:rRNA from 1 species